UAGGGAAUCUUCGGCAAUGGACGAAAGUCUGACCGAGCAACGCCGCGUGAGUGAAGAAGGUUUUCGGAUCGUAAAACUCUGUUGUUAGAGAAGAACAAGGACGUUAGUAACUGAACGUCCCCUGACGGUAUCUAACCAGAAAGCCACGGCUAACUACGUGCCAGCAGCCGCGGUAAUACGUAGGUGGCAAGCGUUGUCCGGCUUUAUUGGGCGUAAAGCGAGCGCAGGCGGUUUCUUAAGUCUGAUGUGAAAGCCCCCGGCUCAACCGGGGAGGGUGAUUUGAAACUGGGAGACUUGAGUGCAGAAGAGGAGAGUGGAAUUCCAUGUGUAGCGGUGAAAUGCGUAGAUAUAUGGGGGAACACCAGUGGCGAAGGCGGCUCUCUGGUCUGUAACUGACGCUGAGGCUCGAAAGCGUGGGGAGCAAACAGG
rnacentral:rRNA from 1 species